rnacentral:rRNA from 1 species
ACGGGAGGCAGCAGUGGGGAAUAUUGCACAGUGGGCGCAAGCCUGAUGCAGCGAUGCCGCGUGAGGGAAUAAGGUUUUCGGAUUGUAAACCUCUGUCAUCGGGGACGAUAAUGACUGUACCCGAGAAGGAAGCUCCGGCUAACUACGUGCCAGCAGCCGCGGUACUACGUAGGGAGCGAGCGUUAUCCGGAAUUACUGGGUGUAAAGGGAGUGUAGGCGGGACUGUAAGUCAGAUGUGAAAUAUACCGGCUCAACUGGUGGACUGCAUUUGAAACUGCGGUUCUUGAGUGAAGUAGAGGUAAGAGGAAUGCCCAGUGUAGCGGUGAAAUGCGUAGAUAUUGGGAGGAACACCAGUGGCGAAGGCGACUUACUGGGCUUUAACUGACGCUGAGGCACGAAAGCAUGGGGAGCAAACAGGAUUAGAUACCCUGGUA